rnacentral:rRNA from 1 species
GAUGAACGCUGGCGGCGUGCUUAACACAUGCAAGUCGAACGAAGCACUUAAGAUUGAUUCUUCGGAUGACGUCUUUUGUGACUUAGUGGCGGACGGGUGAGUAACGCGUGGGUAACCUGCCUCACACAGGGGGAUAACAGUUAGAAAUGACUGCUAAUACCGCAUAACCCGAUAGGAUCGCAUGAUCCAGACGGAAAAGAUUUAUCGGUGUGAGAUGGACCCGCGUCUGAUUAGCUAGUUGGUGAGGUAACGGCCCACCAAGGCGACGAUCGGUAGCCGGCCUGAGAGGGUGAACGGCCACAUUGGGACUGAGACACGGCCCAAACUCCUACGGGAGGCAGCAGUGGGGAAUAUUGCACAAUGGGGGAAACCCUGAUGCAGCGACGCCGCGUGAGUGAAGAAGUAUUUCGGUAUGUAAAGCUCUAUCAGCAGGGAAGAAAAUGACGGUACCUGACUAAGAAGCCCCGGCUAACUACGUG